CUGACUUCCACCUGUUGGGCACUAUACAAAGCACUGUGUAAGUCAGACACAAUCCCUACCCUUGUUUACCUUAUAAUCAAGAUCCACUUCAAAUUUAGUUUUCACUCAGAAUGGUUCAUUCAAAUCCCCAGGGUGAAGUACAUUGACCUUCUAUUUAUUUUACAUAUGUAAGAGGAGCUAUUUCUAAAUUUUACUAUAGCAAAACAUACCAUACCAAAACAAAUAAUAAUAACAUAAUCAGUUUCUUGAGUAUAUGACCUGUACAGUCACCAAUGGCCCAUGCUUAGAAGGACCUCAUGCUUGGUAUUGGCACCAAAACAGACAUGAGGACCAAUGGAGCAGAAUAGAAGACUCAGAGACAAACCCACAUAAAUACAGUUAUCUCAUACUAGACAAAGGCACCAUAAACAUACACUGGAGAAAAUAUAGCCUCUUCAAUGGUGCUGGGAGAACUGAAAAUCCUUAUGUAGCAGAAUAAAAUUUAACCCCUAUAUCUCACUCUGCACAAAGCUCAACUCAAAGUGAAUCAAAGCCUUAGACAUUAGACCAGAAACUCUGUGCCUACUAGAAGAAAAUGUAGGUCCAACUUUCUAUCACCUCAACUUAUGAACCAACUUCCUCAACACGACUCCAAAAGCGUAAGAAGUAAAAUCAAGAAUCAAUAGAUGGAUGGUAUCAAACUAAAAAGCUUCUUUACAGAAAAGGAAACAAUCAAGGACAUGAAGAGGGACACUACAGAAUGGGAGAAAAAUCUUUGUCUCCGCACCUCAGAUAAAGCAUUAAUCUUCAGGAUAUAUAAAGAACUCAAAAACUUAACACACACACAAAAAAAACCCCACAAAUAACCCAAUCAAUAAAUGGGAAAAGGAACUGAACAGACACUUCCCAGAAGAAGAAAUAUGAAUGGUCAAUUAAUAUAUGAAAAAAUGUUCAACAUCUAUUGCUAAGUGAAGUUAGCCAAUCCCCAAAAAACAAAUACCGAAUAUUUUCUCUGAU
rnacentral:lncRNA from 1 species